UACGGAGGAUGCAAGCGUUAUCCGGAAUGAUUGGGCGUAAAGCGUCCGCAGGUGGCGAUGUAAGUCUGCUGUUAAAGAGUGAGGCUCAACCUCAUAAGUGCAGUGGAAACUACAUAGCUAGAGUACGUUCGGGGCAGAGGGAAUUCCUGGUGUAGCGGUGAAAUGCGUAGAGAUCAGGAAGAACACCAGUGGCGAAGGCGCUCUGCUAGGCCGUAACUGACACUGAGGGACGAAAGCUAGGGGAGCGAAUGGG
rnacentral:rRNA from 1 species